CCUACGGGUGGCUGCAGUGGGGAAUUGUUCGCAAUGGGCGCAAGCCUGACGACGCAACGCCGCGUGGAGGAUGAAGGUCUUCGGAUUGUAAACUCCUUUUGCCAGGGACGCGGUACCUGGUGAGGAAGCCCCGGCUAACUCUGUGCCAGCAGCCGCGGGAAUACAGAGGGGGCAAGGGGUGUUCGGAAUUACUGGGCGUAAAGGGCGCGUAGGCGGCCUGGCAAGUCGAACGUGAAAUCCCCGGGCUCAACCCGGGAACUGCGUCCGAUACUGGCAGGCUUGAAUUCGGGAGAGGGAUGCGGAAUUCCAGGUGUAGCGGUGAAAUGCGUAGAUAUCUGGAGGAACACCGGUGGCGAAGGCGGCAUCCUGGACCGAUUGACGCUGAGGCGCGAAAGCCAGGGGAGCAAACGGGAUUAGAUACCCUUGUAGUC
rnacentral:rRNA from 1 species